rnacentral:rRNA from 1 species
AUGUAUUGCAAAUUAUCUCUCCGAGACCCUGACAAUUAUUCAGUCCACGCCGCCAUGCAUUCCAACUGCAUCCGCCAUCUCAGUGCGACCUCUUAUACCUUUGCAACCCUGUGUCCCGCCAUCCACCGAGUAGUCCAAUGUCAGGGCCAUGUUCUGAGAAAAUCCCCUGAAGCGAAAUUGUUGCCGAUAGCCAUUGACCAUGAAGCUUCUCUGCCCUGCUGCUACUACUACAUGAGUACUGAUGGACAUAUGAGGUCGUGUGGCCACACUUUUUUUGAAGGCGUAUCUCCAUGCAAUUGCACCUUUUUCCCUGGUCCUUUGAGAGGGGCGGUCGCCGGCGGAGGGCGGAGUGUCGGCAAGAACCACCUCUGCCCCAUCCUGCUCCUCCUCAUCGCGUGA